CCCGUCACAUCACGAAAGUCGGUUGCACUUGAAAUCGUCGGGCCAACCCGCAAGGGAGGCAGGCGCUCAUGGUGUGAUUGAUGAUUGGGGUG
rnacentral:rRNA from 1 species